UGAGCUAAUUCCAGCUUAAAACGACUAAGUUAUGACCAUUUCAAUUUUUGUGAUUUUCCGACGGAAAUCGCUAUAACCGGAGUUCUACAACUCUGAUUGCCACGAAAUUUAAAAUGGAGCAUCACGUUAACAUAUAUAAGAUUAUGUCAAAAGAUGGGCAUCUCUAGAGUUAAGCACGAGGUAGCUAAUUUUCUUAAGUCACGCAC
rnacentral:lncRNA from 1 species